AGCAUGGUCUAUGUAAGUCUGAAAUUAAUAGGAGAAAGUGUUUUGAAACAUUUUCAGAGAGGACUUAAGUCGAAGUUAAGUGGACCAAAACCAAUUAAAACUCACUGACAAUUGUAAGCAUGGCUUUACUUGGACCUGUAUUGUAUGAGUUAUUAGCAGAAAAUACACAUCGAAAAACUUCGCUCUUUGCACAUGCAACCAUCAACUGAUAAAGAAUAUUCUAAUACGUACCAUAGUGUACAUUUCGCGAACUAAAGUACGGAGAUCGCUCGCGUGCGGUUGUACUAUUAACGUAGCGACGUAUAAAUUUACCUUCGUUAGAAUGUUAGUGUAAUAAUUCACCAAAAUGCGUUUUCUUCGAAGAAAAUGCGAUUGUAACAAUGUUUUGAAAAUAACAAAUCAGCUUAUUUACCAA